rnacentral:rRNA from 1 species
GGAGCGUUCUGUAAGCCUGCGAAGGUGUGCUGUGAGGCAUGCUGGAGGUAUCAGAAGUGCGAAUGCUGACAUAAGUAACGAUAAAGCGGGUGAAAAGCCCGCUCGCCGGAAGACCAAGGGUUCCUGUCCAACGUUAAUCGGGGCAGGGUGAGUCGACCCCUAAGGCGAGGCCGAAAGGCGUAGUCGAUGGGAAACAGGUUAAUAUUCCUGUACUUGGUGUUACUGCGAAGGGGGGACGGAGAAGGCUAUGUUGGCCGGGCGACGGUUGUCCCGGUUUAAGCGUGUAGGCUGGUUUUCCAGGCAAAUCCGGAAAAUCAAGGCUGAGGCGUGAUGACGAGGCACUACGGUGCUGAAGCAACAAAUGCCCUGCUUCCAGGAAAAGCCUCUAAGCAUCAGGUAACAUCAAAUCGUACCCCAAACCGACACAGGUGGUCAGGUAGAGAAUACCAAGGCGCUUGAGAGAACUCGGGUGAAGGAACUAGGCAAAAUGGUGCCGUAACUUCGGGAGAAGGCACGCUGAUAUGUAGGUGAAGUCCCUUGCGGAUGGAGCUGAAAUCAGUCGAAGAUACCAGCUGGCUGCAAC